rnacentral:rRNA from 1 species
AUUGAACGCUGGCGGCAGGCCUAACACAUGCAAGUCGAGCGAGCGGCGGACGGGUGAGGAAUGUCUGGGAAACUGCCUGAUGGAGGGGGAUAACUACUGGAAACGGUAGCGAAUACCGCAUACCAUCAGAUUUGCCCAGAUGGGAGUAGCUAGUAGGUGGGGUAACGGCUCACCUAGGCGACGAACCCUAGCCGGUCUGAGAGGAUGACCAGCCACACUGGAACUGAGACACGGUCCAGACGCCUACGGGAGGCAGCAGUGGGGAAUAUUGCACAAUGGGCGCAAGCCUGAUGCAGCCAUGCCGCGUGUGUGAAGAAGGCUUGCGGGUUGUAAAGCUCUUUCAGCGGGGAGGCGUUACCCGCAGAAGAAGCACCGGCUAACUCCGUGCCAGCAGCCGCGGUAAUUC